rnacentral:rRNA from 1 species
AGGGUGCAAGCGUUAAUCGGAAUUACUGGGCGUAAAGCGAGUGUAGGUGGCUCAUUAAGUCACAUGUGAAAUCCCCGGGCUUAACCUGGGAACUGCAUGUGAUACUGGUGGUGCUAGAAUAUGUGAGAGGGAAGUAGAAUUCCAGGUGUAGCGGUGAAAUGCGUAGAGAUCUGGAGGAAUACCGAUGGCGAAGGCAGCUUCCUGGCAUAAUAUUGACACUGAGAUUCGAAAGCGUGGGUAGCAAACAGGAUUAGAUACCCUGGUAGUCCACGCCCUAAACGAUGCGAACUGGAUGUUGGGUUCAACUUGGAACCCAGUAUCGAAGCUAACGCGUUAAGUUCGCCGCCUGGGGAGUACGGUCGCAAGACUGAAACUCAAAGGAAUUGACGGGGGCCCGCACAAGCGGUGGAGUAUGUGGUUUAAUUCGAUGCAACGCGAAGAACCUUACCUGGUCUUGACAUAGUGAGAAUCUCUCAGAGAUGAGAGAGUGCCUUCGGGAACUCACAUACAGGUGCUGCAUGGCUGUCGUCAGAUCGUGUCGUGAGAUGUUGGGUUAAGUCCCGCAACGAGCGCAACCCUUUUCCUUAUUUGCCAGCGGGUUAAGCCGGGAACUUUAAGGAUACUGCCAGUGACAAACUGGAGGAAGGCGGGGACGACGUCAAGUCAUCAUGGCCCUUACGACCAGGGCUACACACGUGCUACAAUGGUAGGUACAGAGGGUUGCUACACAGCGAUGUGAUGCUAAUCUCAAAAAGCCUAUCGUAGUCCGGAUUGGAGUCUGCAACUCGACUCCAUGAAGUCGGAAUCGCUAGUAAUCGCAGAUCAGAAUGCUGCGGUGAAUACGUUCCCGGGCCUUGUACACACCGCCCGUCACACCAUGGGAG